UACGUAGGGUGCAAGCGUUAAUCGGAAUUACUGGGCGUAAAGCGUGCGCAGGCGGUUUUGUAAGUCUGUCGUGAAAUCCCCGGGCUCAACCUGGGAAUUGCGAUGGAGACUGCAAGGCUAGAAUCUGGCAGAGGGGGGUAGAAUUCCACGUGUAGCAGUGAAAUGCGUAGAGAUGUGGAGGAACACCGAUGGCGAAGGCAGCCCCUGGGUCAAGAUUGACGCUCAUGCACGAAAGCGUGGGAGCAACAGG
rnacentral:rRNA from 1 species